GAUUAACGCUAGCGGCAGGCAUAAUACAUGCAAGUUGAACGAGAUAAGUUUUAGCAAUAGAACUUUGAAAGUGGCGCACGGGUGCGUAACACGUAUGCAACCUACCUUUUACUGGGGAAUAGCCUCUCGAAAGAGAGAUUAAUACCCCAUAAUAUAUUGAUAAGGCAUCUUAUUAAUAUUAAAGUUACGGAGGUAAAAGAUGGGCAUGCGGCUGAUUAGGUAGUUGGUGAGGUAAUGGCUCACCAAGCCGACGAUCAGUAGGGGGUCUGAGAGGAGGUCCCCCAACACUGGUACUGAGACACGGACCAGACUCCUACGGGAGGCAGCAGUAGUAAAUAUUGGACAAUGGGCGCAAGCCUGAUCCAGCCAUGCCGCGUGCAGGAUGAAGGCCCUAUGGGUCGUAAACUGCUUUUAUACGGGAAGAAACCUCACUACGUGUAGUGAGUUGACGGUACCGUGAGAAUAAGGAUCGGCUAACUUCGUGCCAGCCGCCGCCGUAA
rnacentral:rRNA from 1 species